UACGGGGGGGGCAAGCGUUGUUCGGAAUUACUGGGCGUAAAGGGCUCGUAGGCGGCCAACUAAGUCAGACGUGAAAUCCCUCGGCUUAACCGGGGAACUGCAUCUGAUACUGGAUGGCUUGAGUUCGGGAGAGGGAUGCGGAAUUCCAGGUGUAGCGGUGAAAUGCGUAGAUAUCUGGAGGAACACCGGUGGCGAAGGCGGCAUCCUGGACCGGUACUGACGCUGAGGAGCGAAAGCGUGGGUAGCAAACAGG
rnacentral:rRNA from 1 species